rnacentral:rRNA from 1 species
CGGACGGGUGAGUAACACGUGGAUAACCUACCUAUAAGACUAGGAUAACUUCGGGAAACCGGAGCUAAUACCGGAUAAUAUAUUGAACCGCAUGGUUCAAUAGUGAAAGACGGUUUUGCUGUCACUUAUAGAUGGAUCCGCGCCGCAUUAGCUAGUUGGUAAGGUAACGGCUUACCAAGGCGACGAUGCGUAGCCGACCUGAGAGGGUGAUCGGCCACACUGGAACUGAGACACGGUCCAG